UUGGCGGACGGGUGAGAAACGCGUGGGUAAUCUACCCUUGGAUUUGGGAUAACUCUGCGAAAGUGGAGCUAAUACCGGAUAGUCUGGCUUUAAAUAAGAAGUCGGUAAAGGAUGCCUCUGCAUAUGCAUUCGUCCGAGGAUGAGCCCGCGUCUCAUUAGCUAGUUGGUAGGGUAAUGGCCUACCAAGGCAACGAUGAGUAGCUGGUCUGAGAGGAUGAUCAGCCACACUGGAACUGAAACACGGUCCAGACUCCUACGGGAGGCAGCAGUGGGGAAUAUUGCGCAAUGGGCGAAAGCCUGACGCAGCAACGCCGUGUGAGGGAUGAAGGCUUUCGGGUCGUAAACCUCUGUCGGAAGGGAAGAACGGGCAUUGGUCUAAUAGGCCUUUGUUUUGACGGUACCUUUAGAGGAAGCACCGGCUAACUCCGUGCCAGCAGCCGCGGUAAUAAUCUCUAGA
rnacentral:rRNA from 1 species